CUGACACAGGUGCUGCAUGGCGUGUCGUCAGCUCGUGUCGUGGGAGUGUUGGGUUAAGUCCCGUAACGAGCGCAACCCUUGUCCUUAGUUACCAGCACGUUAUGGUGGGCACUCUAAGGAGACUGCCGGUGACAAACCGGAGGAAGGUGGGGAUGACGUCAAGUCAUCAUGGCCCUUACGGCCUGGGCUACACACGUGCUACAAUGGUCGGUACAAAGGGUUGCCAAGCCGCGAGGUGGAGCUAAUCCCAUAAAACCGAUCGUAGUCCGGAUCGCAGUCUGCAACUCGACUGCGUGAAGUCGGAAUCGCUAGUAAUCGUGAAUCAGAAUGUCACGGUGAAUACGUUCCCGGGCCUU
rnacentral:rRNA from 1 species